GGAUUGCCCUAGUAACGGCGAGUGAAGCGGCAAAAGCUCAAAUUUGAAAUCUGGCCUCUAGGGGUCCGAGUUGUAAUUUGCAGAGGAUGCUUUUGGUAGAGCACUAUCCGAGUUCCCUGGAAUGGGACGCCAUAGAGGGUGAGAGCCCCGUCUGGUUAGCUGCAAAGCCUCUAUAAAGCUCCUUCAACGAGUCGAGUAGUUUGGGAAUGCUGCUCAAAGUGGGAGGUAUAUGUCUUCUAAAGCUAAAUACCGGCUAGAGACCGAUAGCGCACAAGUAGAGUGAUCGAAAGAUGAAAAGCACUUUGAAAAGAGGGUUAAAUAGUACGUGAAAUUGCUAAAAGGGAAGCACUUACAACUAGACGUGGGGGCGUGCAAUCACCUAGUACUCGUACUAGGGCUCUUGGGCGCCUCUAGGCUAGCAUUGGUUUGCCGUGGGGGAUAAAGACUCUAGGAACGUAGCCCCCCUCGGGGGGUGUUAUAGCCUAGUGUGCAAUGCCCUGUGGUAGACCAAGGUCCGCGCUCUGCAAGGAUGCUGGCAUAAUGGUUGUUUAGUGACCCGUCUUGAAACACGGACCAAGGAGUCGUCCUCGUAUGCGAGUGUUUGGGUGUUAAACCCGUGCGCGGAAUGAAAGUAAACGUAGGUGAGAGCCCUCUAGGGCGCAUCACCGACCGAUCCUGAUGUUCUCGGAUGGAUUUGAGUAGGAGCAUACGGGGCCGGACCCGAAAGAAGGUGAACUAUGCCUGCGUAGGGUGAAGCCAGAGGAAACUCUGGUGGAGGCUCGCAGCGGUUCUGACGUGCAAAUCGAUCGUCAAACGUGGGCAUGGGGGCGAAAGACUAAUCGAACCUUCUAGUAGCUGGUUUCC
rnacentral:rRNA from 1 species